rnacentral:rRNA from 1 species
GACAGAGGCCCCGAGCGUUAAUCGGAAUUACUGGGCUUAAAGGGUGCGUAGGCGGACCAGAAAGUGCUUUGUGAAAGCCCCCGGCUCAACCGGGGAACAGCGGGGCAUACUGCUGGUCUUGAGGAAGGUAGGGGUUGCCAGAACUGUAGGUGGAGCGGUGAAAUGCGUAGAUAUCUACAGGAAUGCCGAUGGUGAAGACGGGCAACUGGGCCUUUCCUGACGCUGAGGCACGAAAGCGUGGGGAGCAAAC